GAACCCUGUGUGGCAAAGAAAGAACAACGCUAAGAUAAAUUUCACUCCCAUCAAGCCGUAAGGAAAACCUCUACAUAGCCUGCAUCCUAAAAUACCAUGCCACGCUUAUCUGCCUUCCUGUUUUCUGAUAAAUCCUAUCAUUGCACACACGUAUGUACCGCCAGCUCAAACUACAACGAGAAAUUAACCUCUGCAUCAUCUUUGUGAAUAGAAUGGAGAUGUGCCCAUGUGUCACUUCGAUAACUGGGCAGCAGAAGUCAGCUCAAGUUCGUGGCACACACGCCAACAAUCUGCACACAGCAGAAAUAGGAGCUUACACAAUUAAGUUCUUUACGAAGAAGACAACCCAAAAAAGCUUUUUUAGGGCGGUUUAUGGCCUUCCAGCCACAGGCAACUGCAGGUUAGAUUCACCUUCAGGAAUGUGCUCAACUGUGGACGCACCCUCCGAGCCCUUUAAUUGAUAGUGUCUCUUUUCUCUUGGGACUAAUGACUGUGAAUCCAACAUGCAAGUACAUAUUCUGAAUAGAGAGAGACUGUGAAGCAAUAUUUAGUCAAUAGAAAGCACUUCUCCUCAAACUCACUUCCACUUCCCCCCACGUGCUCCUGGAUUUACUAUGGAUUUACACUCCAGCUUGAUGUGUCACAGUGUCACAUGGGAAAAGCCAACAGAAAAGGGAAGAAGGGACUGAAUGCUGUCAAAGCGUAGAAACUACAUUUUAAAAAUAGAUAUAUUUUUGUAUUUUCCAGAGUCAUCUCAGAUAAACUCUCGGACAAAACCAAAACGACAGCAGUAUCCUUUUGGAAAGGCAAAUCAGUUUGGCGUCACCCACUGUCUGUGAAGGUCUGCAAGCAGUUGAUAGUUUUAAUCUUCUCAGCAAUUAAAGAAGAGGCAUGAAUGGGACAAAAAUGCCAGAACUGAUAGCAUUGCAACACAAUCUCCACGAGACGGAGUUCUACUUAAUGCAGGUAAAUUUAGAUGAGGGCCAUGCAAAACUGAACACGCUGUGAGAAGCACAAAGGCAGAACAGUUUUCUCUAUGUUUUGUAAGCCAACUUCUUUAUUAAGCACAGCCUGACGACAACUGUAUCAGCUAGCUGAGAAGAAACUGAAAUCAAUCCGUAUCCAGCAGAAGUUAACGGCUGCACAGAAUUCAGGUCUCGUUGAUAAACACUUUCUGCAUUUAAUAAAACCCCACAUGCUUUGGCUGAAGGUAUUUCCCACUCCUGAGAACAUCUCUGCAAUAACCAGACUUACCGUAUGGGAUGAAAGUUCUCUACAACAGGUUCUCACUGUGACUAGAAAACACAGCUUGAAGUACAGUAAGUUGACAGUGCAGGACACAAAGAACUUCUGCCUACCUGGAUAGGGAAUAUUUUGACUGCAACAUAUUCAUUCAGCAGCUGAGCUUUCCACACACACCCAAAUCGUCCCCUGGCUUUGAUCUCUAGCAACUGCAGUGGCUUCAAACCCAUCAAUGGUGAAGGCGGUGGUGGUCCAGGAUCCUGAAAUUAGGUAAACACCAUUAAUUAACACUGCUAUUACAAUACGUGUGAUCUAGAAAGGAAAGCCUUGUCAACUGAGGCUUGGCAGCAUAUACCCAACCCUCCUGCAACAAAUUCCCCCAAACAAAUCAGAAACAAAACAGCAACUCUUCUCCACAGGAAGGAAAAAAACAAACAAAAACAGACUGUGAGACAUGCUCAGAACUAUGUGCAAGCAACAG